UUCUUGUGUUCCUGUUUUCUUGAGGCUUUCUAAAGGCUUCCAAGAUGGCUGAUUGGUAGCAUUGAUACUUGCUUUAUGCCGAAAUCCUGUAGGCUCAGGCUGCUCAUUGAGCUGUUUGCUUAGGAGAGAGAAGUGUUCUGAAACUGUGGCUUUUGAGAGGAAGAAUGAAGGCAUUUUGAGAAAGGUGCACAUAUGCUAAUGAUGAAUUUAACAGUGUAUGGGAACUUCUGAAUCGUGGCCUGAACCUGUGACUGACCAUCAGAGGAGAGCGAUGAGUCAGCCCUGGGAGCACUGGUGAAGCAGGUGGAAGAACAAGCAACCUGUUGAUUGCUGUCUGAAAUGAAAGCUGCUGCAACUGGAUGCAACAGGGAGAGAAGCAAUGAUGAAUGUGCAUCGUAACUCUGCCCCGAGGAAAAGAAAGGGUUCUGGAUUUAUGGAAAAACUUCUCCUUCAACUGAACAAGCCAAGCUCUGUGUUGAUGUUUCCGAUGAAAAUUCUGCGAAUGAAAGUUUUCUUUUAAUGUAAAAGGACAUUGUUACAGAAAGAAUCAAAUAUCCAAGUUCAGCUGAAUGAGUUUCAACACGGACCCUGUAUGGAUACAAACUGCACGGUUUGUAUUUCUGCAGUAAUGCAGAUGGAAGAAUUGUUAACCUUUUCGCAAUAAUUCUGUGAAGCGUAUUUUCAUAAUGCUGUGUGCUUAGGCCAAAAGUUGAACAACGUCAACCUUAUUGCGCCUACCAGGAAUUAGUAACUUGUGACUGGCCUUGAAGACUUACUAAAAACACAGUCUGUAUUAGGUUUGUUUUAUUUUUAAUCAUCCUGAUUUUCUGUUUGUGGCAGUACGAAGAGCAUUUAAGAAUACUCAUUGAAAAUUAUGGGCUACUACAGCUUCACAUUCCAGAAGGGAAGAGAACUUGUCAGGUGUUUUUUCUUUCUUCUAGCAACGGUUAUUGAAUUCAUACUAGAAAAUUCACAGAAUGAAAAUCAACAGUCAGCACUCCAUCACAUUAUGAGUGAAAGGUUUUUGUAGCUAAUAUUUAGAGACACUGAUGUUGUUGUUGUUGUUUGUUUGACUGAAGAAAUUUUCUGUCAUAGUGAUGUUUGACCAUAUUUUGACUGUUGCAGUGAUUUUUCUGGAAAAAAAAACCCGUUUUUUGUUUGCUUAUCUGUAUUAGCACUGCCUGCACUUUAAGUUUGGUUCCAGUCUAGUGUGAAACAUUCAUUUGCUAACGUAAGUUUUUAAUGAGAUAUGAAAGAAAUAUAUUACAAGUUUUGAUGCUUGCUUUUCGCCAUCUCCAAACAUUAGUGUGUUGGUUCUAAAGCUAAAUCCUGUUUCUCUCUUGAAAGUUUGUUCGUGUCUGAUUUCCGCAGAACAUCGCUAAGACAUGCUUGUCAUUUGAAGUAUGCCAAAUGGGCAUUUUACUACACAGUGCAGCUCCACCUAAUAAGAUCCACAGAUCUGUAAUAAUGGGAUUUGAACCUUGGUUCUACACGCUGAUUAGAAGAAUCACAUAAAGAGGGAGGAAGACCACAACGAAAGUACGAAAAAAAUCUUUUGCCUAGGCCAUUCUCAUGAGUCUAACUUGUUUAGGCUUCUAGAUCUCUGAUUAUUCAGGCUUGCUGAAUUUUAGCAUAGUACUAAUAUAGUCUCAAUAACUCUUUGAAGAUCUGAAGUCAGCAAAACAUGAAAACUCUGAUUUGCUGUGAAGAUUUCAGUGAAGUAGAGAACUGGUCUGGUCUGUGGUUUGGUUCUUUAAUGCAGAAUCUUGUACUUACGGAAAGAGCUCAUACUUCAGAUGAAAGGCAGUUAUUAGUGUAGCUCACUAAACAAGUAGAAUGUUGGGCGAAAGCUGGAUUUCACUUCACAGAAAUUGUAGGGUAACUCAAAUCUGUUGUCUUCUACUCCUCAUAGAUAAGGAAUAGAUGAUUUCUUUGCUGUGUACAGUAAAAUAGAAUUUGACUCUUUUUUUCUGAAAUACAUCCUCUUGAUUUCUUGAGUUAGUAAUACUUCUGCUUCUUAACAAGUUGAUGGCUUCCAAUUAGAAGUAGGUAUGCAUUUUCUUAGAAUUAUUAGUAUGAGAAUUGUGUUGGAAUUCUUGUUUUCACACUACAUUAAGCAGGAACAAACUGAAAACUCAGAUGAUAAAACUAAGUUGAAUUUCUUUAAAUCAAUAACUUAAUUUAAAUUAUAUUGUAUAUGGAACACCUAGGUUUAUUAGCAUAAAUUUUUCUGAAAUAAAUGAGUAUGUGAUUCUGAAAUACUGUUAUAACCUCUGAUUUCUUUCCACAGAGUAGUGAUCAGAUGAAUUACUUAACGGGAGUCUAACAGAUUGCUUCCCAAAACAGAUUAUUUUAUAAAAAGAUGAAGUUGUUCUGUCAUUUGGUUUUACUUUGUCUUGACUGUUGUAGGAACUAUCAAGAGGUACCAAAAUAACAUUAAAAGUUUUCCUAGUAAAAAUUAGAAAGCCUUCUCAACCUUUCAAAGGCAUAUGGAGUACUCCUUUUUCUUUUCAUGCACCCUGUUGUGUUUCAUUUUACUGCUCUCUAAUUUUUUCCCUCAAUUUUGCAGAAUGGCAAAAGAAAUAGACAAUAAAUAAUUAAGUAAAAGCCUCCCUGGAAAAGUAUUACUUGCAUGUGAGAGCGUUGAAAAAUAAACAUAUUUUAUUUCAUAAGAGCUAGUUUGGAUUCCAACAUGCUUCUACGCUUCUAAUCUCCUUUAAUAUCUUUGUAUUAGGUUUACUUCUCAUGUCUUGUUGUAACGUGAGUUUUGCAUGGACUCCUAACUCCCUUACUGUGCACUUUUCAACUUGAGUGAAUAUUUAAUUGUUAGAGAAGUUAGUUUUUCUUCUUGUGGAA